ACGCUAGCGCAGUCUUAUUCUUAUCGGUACUAAUCCAUUUGAAUUUACUCAGUAAUCCACAUAUCAAACUAGAACACAGGUUUUUUCCAUUCAUCAUCUUCCACAUGAAGAACAAUGGCAGUGCCUUGUUGAGGGAAAGCGACACAAAUUUUAAUAAUUUUCCCCUUGGUUUGAGCGUUUUGAUUGUGGAUCACGGUCAGCAAAGUCUGCAAGAAAUGGAGGCGAACCUUCGGAGAUUUGGAUAUGAAGGUUACUUCUUAUUCCUUUCGUUUUUUAUUGAGUUUAAACUGCAGGUCUCGAAUGGCCGCGAGUUAGCAUGCUAAGGGAUUGAGUUGAAGCGCUAUAACAAGGGCCACCAUCAAAUUGGAUUGAGUUGAAGCGUUAUUGCAAGAUCGUCGGCACAGCCACGUUACUAAAUGCGUUCGAGUGGAGGAUGCUUCAACUCUGCUAAGGAUGGAGGGAAGUGUAUUUCAUAUUAUUAUAAUUGAACAAUGCUUGCUUGGUGUGAAUGAAUUUGAACUUCUUCGAAUUGGUAGAGAGAUGGAUUUGCCUGUUAUUGUGACAUUCGAGGAUGGUCAACCUAACAUUGUUCAAUGGAGUUUGGAAAAUGGCACCUGUGAGUAUCAGCUGAAGCUUAUCCCGAUGAGUGUUCUUAAUGUGGUGUACAUGUAUGUUUUUCAAGAAAGACAAUAAGUGGGCUCAAGUGCAGCAGCCAACAAAUAAUGUGUCCAGAGUGAGAAAUCAGCGGAUGUCUUGGACACCAGACUCUCGUGAAAAGUUUGAAGAAAGUGUGCAAAAACUGGGAGGCGCUGAUAAUGCAACUCCCAGGAAAAUUUUGCAACUCUUGUGAAGUAACUUUAAGGGUUUUGAAGAUGUUGAUAGGGAAAAGGUUUCCAGCCAUCUGCAGAAAUACUGUGAAAGCCUUAAAAAAAAAGAAAAGGUGCAGCUGCGUAUGAUGGGGCGCAAAGACAAAGAUGGUACCAGUUCAGAGCAUAUUCAGUCCAGAUAUCAAAUGGAGGAACAUCCACCAAUGACUUUGGUCGAUCAAGUCUUGAAGACCACGGUUGCAAAUGAGCCAAAUAUAUUAUCACCAGAGCAACAAGCUCCAGCAGCAAAGAACACUAAAGGCUUUCAGAGUGUAACAUGGCCUUCUGAAACCAACUUACAAACCAUGGGAGGUAGUACCAGUUGUGGAAACCAAAGCAAUGCUUUGAUGACCCAAAUGGUUGAAGCAUUUUCAAGUGAACAGAUCCGGAAUGAAUUCACUGGAGGUCAACCUUUUGACUAUGAAAGCUUUCUCAAUGAUAUCGAUGCAUCAACAAAUGAUAUUUCUGGAGAUCCUGGUUUCUUCUCCAUUAAUGCUCCUGUUCGGAUUCCUUAUCAUAUUGAUCAUGGAGAAUAUGGUUUCUCCUUGGAUGGAAUGUUUGAAAAUUUUACUGGGGAUGUUAUUGCUCAUGAAAAUUUUACAACCUCUGAUGCUGGUACGCAACCAUGAAGUUGCGUUUGCUGGAUUAUUUGAGUCUAAAGUCUCACUCUGGUGGCGUCAGCCCAAAUCCAAUAAAAAGGCUUCUCUGUUGGAUGCGCAUCUCUAUUCUCUUUUAUUCUGCCCGUUUUCCUAAAAGUGUAGUUUUAUUUUGUUUUCAACUUAGGAUUUCAGCCCAUGUUUGCUUUAAAUUCCGUUUGUCUGUCUGUUAUAAUAAGGGUAAAGUGCUAUCAAGUCGGUUUUUAAGGAA